UACGGAGGGUGCGAGCGUUGUCCGGAAUCAUUGGGCGUAAAGGGCGCGUAGGUGGCCCGGUCAGUUCGUGGUGAAAGCGCGGGGCUCAACCCUGCGUCGGCCGUGCGAACUGCUGGGCUGGAGCACUGUAGAGGCAGGCGGAAUUCCGGGUGUAGCGGUGGAAUGCGUAGAGAUCCGGAAGAACACCGGUGGCGAAGGCGGCCUGCUGGGCAGUGGCUGACACUGAGGCGCGACAGCGUGGGGAGCAAACAGG
rnacentral:rRNA from 1 species